rnacentral:lncRNA from 1 species
AAGGAAACUUCGGGGUGCUGCUGCUAGAAGAAGGGGAGACGGAUGCGUCACAAGAGAAGCAAUGUGUGUCUGUACCCCAGUGCUUUGUCGGUCCAGUGAGCGAGCCUGAGGCAGCUGAGAGAGGGAGGAAGGCAGCUGCUCGUGGCCUCAGAGGGGGCGAGGGCCUCACUGGGCAGCCUGGCCCCAAGUCCUGCUGCUCUGCUGUGCCACGAGCCCCCAUCUCCGACAGUUCCCCCGGCCCUGCUCCUCCCGGCUGCUGCGGGAAGGCACCCAGGCCCUAAGCCAGCCACGAUGGCCAGUGUGGCAGCUGGAUAGUGCCACCCAAAGAUGUCCAGGUCCUAAUCCCCGAAACCCAAGAAUAUGUGACCUUCCAUGGCAAAGGGACUUUGCGGAUGUGGUUAAGUUGUGGGUGUUGAGACAGGGAGGUUGUCCUGAAUGACCCAGGUGGGCCCGACGCGAUCACCAGCAUCCUCACGUGAGGGAGGCAGCCGGAGAUUGGACACAGAAGUAGGACAGGUGACAGUAGGAGUAAGAGGUUGGAGUGAUGCGAGGAAGAGGUCACAAGCCAAGAGUGCAGGUGGCCCGCAGAAGGUGGAAAAGGCAAGGAAACGGACUGUCCCCCGGAGACUGCAGAGGGCGCCAGCUCUGCCCGCACCGUGACUUCCGCCCAGCGAGAUGGAGUUGGGACUCCUGGCCUCUGGAACUGUAAGGGGAUACGUUUGUGUUGUUUGAAAAGUGAGCAAGACACAGAGUUUCAGUUUUGCAAGAUGGAAAAACUUCUGCGGAGCUGUUUCACAACGAUGUGAGUAUGCUUUUCACAACUAAACUAUACACUUAAAAAUGGUUAAGGCUGUAAAUUUUAGGUUAUGUGUUUUUUGACCACAAUUUAAAAACAAGUUCCCACGCUUGUGGUAAUGAGUGACAGCAGUCACGGGCACUGGCCAGGCCCGGAGGCACGGAGCCUGUGUGUCUCAGGGAGCGCAGUCCUGGCCCCUUCCCAGGGCGAGCCUCCUCCGGGGGCGGAGGGGCCGUGCGGGAGCCAGCUCUGUGCCAUCAGCUAAACUGACAGAGGACAAGAGCCACAAGCGCUGGCAUCUCUCGAGCCUCCUGUGAGCAAGUGCUGUCCACACACCUCCCUUCCUCUUGUCAACAUCUUUCCACGAUGAUCCCCACUUCCCCACGAGGAAACAGGCUCAGAGAGGUGAGGUGACUUGCCCAAGGGCACACACCACGGAGCAGAGCUGGGUUCUUAAUCUCCGUUUCCUGCUUCCUCGAGGCUGCUUCAGCCAGUGUCUCGCAGCUGCUGUUACAGGCGUUCCAACGCCCUAAGGCUGCCUCUCAGCGGCUUUUACAAGCCACCGUAUUGCCGACUUUCUCCUGUUGGUAACCAGACAUUCUCUCCCAGCUUAUCAGAGACCAGAGUCUCAUUCUGUCCCCAGACGCCCACCAGUAUACGAGACUGUCCAGGAAAGUGCAGAGCCCCGAGUUAGCUCAUGGUCUAUGGGCGCUUCUCUAAGGCCCCACGGCAUGGCCUGAGAUGGGGGGGUGGCAAGCUGGUGGCCAACAGGCAUGCCUGGCCUGCAGAGGGAGUCUGCCUGGCCUGCACCGUCUUGGGUAUUAUUUUUACUUGGUGCCCAACAUUUAACUUCAGAAGAGUUCUCUCCAAAAUCAGAAGUCAGGAGCGUUCAGUUCUGCUUCUGUGUAGUCAGGACGGGCUGGGCUCACCCCUGGAAACAAACACCUCCGAGUCUCGGACACCUCCCACACGGACGUUUAUGCCUUUCUCACGCUGCAUGCGCAGUGCGAGCGGCCCGGGGUCUCUGUUCCAUGCAGUCAUUUCGGGGCCCGGGCUGAUGGAGGCCCUGCCAUCCUUCAGUGGCAUCUGAGACACGGGGCCAUGUCAGUUGCUGCUUCAGGGAAGGAAGAGACAGAAGAGUGCAUGGAUGUCGCACAGCCUCAGCAUGUUACACACAUCUGAUUUCUGUUCACUUGUCAUUGACUGGAUGUGGUCACGUGGCCCAUCCACAUUCCAAGAGGGCUGAGAAGUACAGUCUUCUGUGAACGCUAGUUUCACUAGUUCUGAUAUUGGUGAAUACUAGUCUGCCACACUUUCGUAUUUGGCAGCAAUUCACUGGAGCCGAGUGAGCAUGCCCCUCUCAGGGCUGCCAUAGACUGGUGUUCAGGAUGUGCACUGCACAGCUGCAGGAGGCACCAAACAUGUCAUGGUUUCUGGGAUCAGUUCUUCCUGCAGAUGUGCAGUGACAACCUACACGGCUGUCCGGAGCAGCCCUUCCAUCCCUAGACAGGUACAUGUGUUCCACUUGCCCCAGUGCCAGGCGAACCUCUUCACUGAAGUCUCGGUAGCAUUCCGAUUGCACCCUCUGUCUUAGAGUCACUAAGUGGAUUCAGCCUAAAUGCCAAUUCCUCAUCAAUAUCAGCUUCCUAUAGGGUAAAGUCCAAACUCCUUCGCAGGGCAUUCAUAGAACUUACAAAUGGGCCUCAGCUUCUUCACGCCAGCUUCCCUUCUCCAGCUAUCAUGUGUCCCCAUCCUCUUGUCAGUAAUUCCUGAAGUGAGUUAGAUGGGCCUCUGAACCCUCCGAGUGCUCCCUAAAGCAAAUCAGCUUGGGAAAUAGGUCACACUCCAUCCUGCGCUGGAGAGCCACGGUGGACACUGUGUAUUAAAAG